rnacentral:lncRNA from 1 species
GAGGUAAUGUCUUGUUUUCUCUUACCACUCAGUAGAGAGAGGAAGUUAGUAUUUACUAGUAUUAUUCAUUUACUGAAGAGUGUUACAAACCCUUGCCGGUUGCCUCAUGUUUCAUUUCUUUUUCUUUUGGACUUUUACAGGGCCACUGGAGGUGGUGAAAAGAAGAAAUGAAACCUGUAUGGUUGAUGAUUGAAGAACCCAGUUUCAGUAGAGGGAUGAAGUUAGUAUUACUAAUAUUAUUCUUUUGCUGAAGAGUGUUACAAACCCUUGCCGGUUGCCUCAUGUUUCAUUUCUUUUUCUUGUGGACUUUUACAGGGCUACUGGAGGUGGUGAAAAGAAGAAAUGAAACCUGUAUGGUUGAUGAUUGAAGAACCCAGUUAGUUAAUUCACUUGCUUUUAUGUUUGCAAUGUAUUUUUGUUUUCAAGAAAGAAGACUUGUGAUUAAAAGCUCCCGGUUUAUGUCCCAUGAAGAUUUUGAAAUUAGUG